rnacentral:rRNA from 1 species
AUUGAACGCUGGCGGCAUGCUUUACACAUGCAAGUCGAACGGCAGCACGGGUGCUUGCACCUGGUGGCGAGUGGCGAACGGGUGAGUAAUGCAUCGGAACGUGCCCAUGAGUGGGGGAUAGCCCGGCCGAAAGCCGGAUUAAUACCGCAUACGCCCUUAGGGGGAAAGCGGGGGAUCUUCGGACCUCGCGCUAUUGGAGCGGCCGAUGUCGGAUUAGCUAGUAGGUGAGGUAAAGGCUCACCUAGGCGACGAUCCGUAGCUGGUCUGAGAGGAUGAUCAGCCACACUGGGACUGAGACACGGCCCAGACCUCCGUACGGGAGGCGAGC